rnacentral:lncRNA from 1 species
CAGCAAGUUAACUAGAACAGGGGUCCCCAACCCCCGGCCCUUGGACCGGUACUGGUCCCUAGCCUGUAAGGAACAAGGACGCACAGCGUGAGGGAAUUGAACAGCUUGGACUUGGAGACAGUGAGUUAAAACAGAAAUAAGAAGGCGGCAGAAAAAGACUACCAGAUUGAAAUGUGUUGGAUAUUCAUAUCCACCCAGCACCUCAGAAUGUGGCCAUGGAGGAUGGAGACAGAGAUUGGAGUGAUGCAUCUUCAAGCCUAGGAACACUAAGGAUUGCUGGUAAUCACCAGAAGCUGGAAGAGGCAAGAAAGUGUCCUUUCCUAGAGCCUUCAGAGAGAGCGCAGCCCUGCCAACACCUUGAUUAUAUGCUUCAAGCUUCUAGAAUUGUGAGAGAAUAAAUUUCUGUUGUUAUAA